GCUGUGAUGGCCGAGUGGUUAAGACGUUGGAUUAGAAAGCCAAUAGGGUUUCCCUGCACAGCUUCAAAUCCUGCUCACAACG
rfam:Pelodiscus sinensis unplaced genomic scaffold scaffold2059, whole genome shotgun sequence.